CCCAAUCUAUCAAUUUUAAAAUGACAUAAGCAACCAACAUUUCCACUUGAACAAGUAUACGUAAAAUAUGUAAGUUCUGGUGAAGCAGAUCCAUCGGUUUCACACCGUUAUUCAUAUACCGCUACCCAUGGCCGAGCACACCUUACGAAUUAAUACAUAUUUUAAACAUGGGCACCAACAAAUGAAUAUAACAGUUCUAUCUCAGUUUAUGCAUCAAAUGGGUUGGUGAAUUAGCUCAAACGAUCACAAUAAUUUUAAGUAAGAACAGAGAUUCCUCCCCAAAAUAUCACAAGCAACAAGAAUUCACAUAAAUCCUCACAUUGAACCAUAAUAUAAGAAAUACACGAAAUGAUACAAAGGGGGAACAAUAGGAACUUUCGAACCUCGACGAACUCAUAACGACAAAUGACGACCUCGAAAUACUGUUCUUUUUUUCUCGACUACAAAUCGGAAUCGAAACUCGCCGGAAAAUGAACUCAGAACGACAAACGACGACCUCGAAAUACUGUUCUAUUUUUCUCGAAUCCAAAUCGCAAUCGAAACUCGUCGAAAAAUUCAAACUAAACCAGAAAACGGACCCGGCGAACUCCAUGACAGUAGCUCAUGAUUUUGGAGUUGUUUCGGGCUGUUUCACGUUGCUUUGAUGGUGAAAAUGGUGAGCUUACACCACUGGUUUUGAAGCUAUUUUCAUGGCUAGUUUUGCUGCCUUUUGGUCGGAAUUCGGAAGUGACUCAAACUUGAAAGAAGUGGAUCAUUUGGGUUCGAUGGAUGAAACAUCUUCCUAGGAAUAGGAAAGGAGAUGAAGGAGCUGGGCCUUUAAGAGAUGAAGGUGAGCAGAACCAUCUCCGUUGAAGACAAC
rnacentral:lncRNA from 1 species